rnacentral:hammerhead_ribozyme from 1 species
CUCUAGGUGAUGAGUCUCAAAUAGGACGGAACGGACGUCCUAAAU